CCUUGACCACUGCAUACAGAUAGUUUCCACCCUCUUCACCUCCAACUUCAUUGGCAUCUGCUUCAGCCGUUCUCUCCACUACCAGUUCUACGUCUGGUAUUUCCACACACUGCCCUACCUCCUGUGGGCCACACCUGCACGCUGGCUCACACACCUGCUCAGGUUGCUGGUGCUGGGGCUCAUUGAGCUCUCCUGGAACACAUAUCCAUCCACAUCCUGCAGCUCUGCUGCCCUGCAUGUAUGCCAUGCUGUCAUCCUGCUGCAGCUCUGGCUGGGCCCCCAGCCUUUCCCCAAGAGCAUCCAGCACAGCAAGAAAGCCCACUGAGAUCCACCUCUUCCCCAUUCUCAGGACCCUGGAUGUGGAUGGACUCCGUGCCCUUCCCAAUAAACCUUACCCCAAGUCCACUUCUGUGCAGCCUGCAUAGAAGUGCCUAGACCAACUUGUGAGGAGUAUGCAUGCAGCACAUAAAGAACUCAUUCAGGCGG